rnacentral:rRNA from 1 species
CAGGUGCUGCAUGGCUGUCGUCAGCUCGUGUCGUGAGAUGUUGGGUUAAGUCCCGCAACGAGCGCAACCCUCGCCCUUAGUUGCCAGCAUUAGGUUGGGCACUCUAAGGGGACUGCCGGUGAUAAGCCGAGAGGAAGGUGGGGAUGACGUCAAGUCCUCAUGGCCCUUACGGGCUGGGCUACACACGUGCUACAAUGGUGGUGACAGUGGGCAGCGAAGGAGCGAUCCUGAGCUAAUCUCCAAAAGCCAUCUCAGUUCGGAUUGCACUCUGCAACUCGAGUGCAUGAAGUUGGAAUCGCUAGUAAUCGCGGAUCAGCACGCCGCGGUGAAUACGUUCCCGGGUCUUGGUACACACC